UAUAUAUAACAUCUCUAUAUACUCCAAAUUCUAUGAUAAAUUCAGCUAAAAUUAAAGUUUUGAAAGUCGGAGGUCACUGUCUUUAAGCAUGAAUGGAUACAUUGCCUCAAUCAACACACUGCACAUUUUCUGCACAUUUUUCUUGCCAGAGGGAGGAGGAGGAGAUGAAGAAUGAGUUGCUGGGACAUCAAUAUUUUCACAAAGCAAGAUCUUUGUCAUUAGUGGCAGAAGACCUGAUAAUCAGUUGGCUGAAGUGAAUGAACAGCGCUCUCUUCCACCCUCAAUACUCAUGGCUGAAGUGCCCUUGAGCAAGGCACUGAACCCCCAGUUGCUCCCCGGGCGCUGGAUAUAGCUGCCCACUGCUCCGGGUGUGUGUUCACUUCUCACUGCUGUGUGUGUGCACUUGGAUGGGUUAAAUGCAGAGCAUCAAUUUCGAGUAUGGGUUACCAUACUUGACAAAUGUCACGACUUUCACUUUCACUUUAACAUCAAAAACAAGUGUUAUUUCAUUGUACGGCAACAUGCAGUGAAAGCCUUGUAAAGCAGUGUGCAUUGGAAGCAGCAAAGCAGGCUGACUGAAGAGGAGUUUAAAUAAGGCACCCUGUGCGCCAAUUGGGUGAAUAUAAAUCAGAUCAUCUGAUAUGAGCUGGGUUUGAAAUUUUUCAUUUUUUUUAAUCAGCUGAUAGCAAAGCUUGACUACAAGGCCUGCCUGAACUAAAACAGAAUGCUUUAUUUAUAUUUUAGCAGUUUUAACAACAGAGAGUUAUAGUAAGAUAGAGAUUUCAACAGAAAAACAAAGCUACACGGAGGUACAAAACAAAAUCACUCAGCCUCACACAGGAUCAUUUUUUUUUUUCUUUUUUCUUGGUAAGGUCAAUUAGUCCUCGGGACCCCCUGCUCUGCACAUUUUGUAUGUCUCUCUUUGUUAACACACCUGAUUCAGAUAAUCAACUCAUUGGAAAUGAGCUCCGUUCAUGAACUGUGUUCCCAUUGACGGUCCCUAGACAGUGUUCAUUGCUCCCUACUCCCUGAGCAGGGGAAACCUGUUGAAGUUUACCUCACUUCGGAACAUUCAUUCACGGAUUUGCGCUGCG
ensembl:lncRNA